GAUGAACGCUGGCGGCGUGCCUAAUACAUGCAAGUCGAGCGAACGGACGAGAAGCUUGCUUCUCUGAUGUUAGCGGCGGACGGGUGAGUAACACGUGGAUAACCUACCUAUAAGACUGGGAUAACUUCGGGAAACCGGAGCUACUACCGGAUAAUAUUUUGAACCGCAUGGUUCAAAAGUGAAAGACGGUCUUGCUGUCACUUAUAGAUGGAUCCGCGCUGCAUUAGCUAGUUGGUAAGGUAACGGCUUACCAAGGCAACGAUGCAUAGCCGACCUGAGAGGGUGAUCGGCCACACUGGAACUGAGACACGGUCCAGACUCCUACGGGAGGCAGCAGUAGGGAAUCUUCCGCAAAGGGCGAAAGCCUGACGGAGCAACGCCGCGUGAGUGAUGAAGGUCUUCGGAUCGUAAAACUCUGUUAUUAGGGAAGAAAAUAUGUGUAAGUAACUGUGCACAUCUUGACGGUACCUAAAGAGAAAGCCACGGCUAACUACGUG
rnacentral:rRNA from 1 species